rnacentral:rRNA from 1 species
CCUACGGGGCGCAGCAGUGAGGAAUAUUGGUCAAUGGGCGGGAGCCUGAACCAGCCAAGUCGCGUGAGGGAUGACGGUCCUACGGAUUGUAAACCUCUUUUGCCGGGGAGCAAGCGUGCGUUCGUGAACGCGCGUCGAGGGUACCCGGAGAAAAAGCAUCGGCUAACUCCGUGCCAGCAGCCGCGGUAAUACGGAGGAUGCGAGCGUUAUCCGGAUUUAUUGGGUUUAAAGGGUGCGUAGGCGGGAUGCCAAGUCAGCGGUAAAAAUGCGGUGCUCAACGCCGGCCGGCCGUUGAAACUGGCAGA